GCCCGCUCUGGGCCCCGCCCGGCAGCACGCGCCGCGGGCCGGCGCCCCGCCUCCCGUCACGUGUCAGCAACGCCCUCCAGGCACGCUCCGAUUGGCUCUUCAGGCCGAGGGGCGGGAUCUGUCGGAAAGCACCCCCGGCGACGCGAGUGCAGUUUUCAAACCUCAACUGUAGGCUGCCCUUCUCGUCUUGCGGAACCGUCUCACAGGGGCCAGGUCUCAACUGUCGGCCGUUGUCCGGAAAAGUACAAGGGGAUCCUGCCGCGCUCGGAACUCCCUGGCACCUCGUCGGGCUAGAGCUGGAGAACGCGUGCUGUCGUGGCCGCCGGCGUGGGGCGGGACGGGAGCCCCCUCGGAGGGGGCAGCCCUGGGAGGACCUGCUGCGACCGGAGCGGUGAAACUAAGUGAUUAAGAAGGAUAUCUGGGAGUCAUCUAACAUGUCGAGGAGAAGGUUUGAUUGCCGAAGUAUUUCAGGCUUGCUAACUACAACUCCUCAAACUCCAAUAAAAAUGGAAAACUUCAAUAAUGUUUAUAUACUUACAUCUAAGGAGCUAGGAAGGUAAGGAAACUUUAUGUUGUAUAUUCUGUUUAAAUUCAUAUUUUGGAUUUCUGUUUCUACAGUUCUGUGGAACUCAUUUUGGAUCACUGUUUAACAAUGAUUAGAAGGAAAAGUCAUUCUAUUGUUAUACAGAGUCUAGUAUUAACUGAUUUGAAAAUCAAAUCUGUGGAGAGUUACAUCCCACCAAGCUUCAUAGCCCCUGAGAUGGGAGGUUAGGGUUCUUAUUUGAAGCUGUGCAUGGGAAGAGGUAGUAUAGCAUAGUUGAUGGCCCAGUCAAAGUCUAGGCUCCAUAUUUGCUAGCUGCGUGAUCUCCCUUAAAUUACUCUACCUCUUAGUGUUGUAGUUUCCUCAUCUGAAAAGUGGGAGUGGAGGUAAUUAUAUCUAUUUUAGAUGGUUGUUGUGAGGAUUAAAUUAGUUAACAUUUGUUAAGUGCUUAGUAUAGUAUUAUGUAAAUUUUUGGUAUAUAAAAUGUUUUUAAAAAUUCCUAGGAAACUAUGGUGGGUU
rnacentral:lncRNA from 1 species